GCUGCUGUUGAAGUAAGCAACGAAUAUCCUAUCGAACAACUCAAAAGAAUGGAUGAGCUUGGUUGAAGUUUGGUGUACUAUAUCGGGGCUAUCUUCUGAAGGGUCACUAGAUAGUCUUUGCACAUCAUUGAGUCGAUAGCUCUCUAGAGCAUCACAAGAGCUUUGAAGCUCUCCAAGUGACCCAAGGGAUUGGUGAUGCUAUCAUAGGUCUCAAACUAUGCUA
rnacentral:lncRNA from 1 species